UCCUCUUUAGCUCAGUUGGUAGAGCGCUCGGCUGUUAACCGAUAGGUCGCCCGUUCGAGCCGGGCAAGAGGAGCCA
rnacentral:tRNA from 1 species